ACCAUACUUGGCUACACAUCACGUCACUCACUUUUUUUUUUUUUGCCGUUCUGAUAUAAUCAGGACAGUUCUGAGUUGCCGUUCCUGAUAAUUAGUCUUAGCUUUAAUUUGAUUGCUGUGAAUAAAUGUAUUAAACUGAUGUCACUGUGAUUCAUGCUUUUUCUCUCAUGAGAAACCAGCAGCAGUGUGAUGUGGAGCCUUAAAUAACAAGAGUGGGUGGGUUAUGUAGUAUUUUGACCCAUUAAUAGAAUGGUAAGACACAUAAACAACUACAUCUGUUGCUUUUUCCUCACAACGCUGAGAGGUAAGUUGACAACAUCAAGUUUGCACAUGAAUAAUGUGAUUCAAAUGAUUUUUUUUUUCCUGUGGACACUAUUUUAUUUGCUGCCAUUUAACAAAGUAAUCAAAUAUCUUUACAAAAACAAUUGCUUUUAUUUUUUUUGCAAAACUGUGCAUUACCAUUAGCACCCUUUUCUUAGCAUUUCUUAGCAUUACAAGGUUGUUUUAAUGUGUUUAUAUUUUUCAUGUUUAUGAUAUUCUGGAAUGACUGAAGAUCAGCGCAGAAUUUAUCAAUCUUGUGGAUGGACUGCAACGAGUCCUUUUGCAGUUGUAUCCAUCAAAGUGCCAUGCAGACAUAAUGGGAAUGACUGUCACAUUGUAGAGCUUGGACAAAGUUCACACAGGUUCUGAGCAGGGAUUCAUCAAGGACAUGACUGAUGGAAUUAUUGCUGUGGGUGGCCAAAGUGAGCACCAUCAUUCUGCAGUGGUGUGGUCUUGGUAAUAGAAGAAGAAACCUUGGUGAUCUGGGGUUGUAUCAUGCUGUGGGGUUGUGUACUGCGUUAGACUAUCUGGGACGUGUCACAGCACUUAAAGGCAAAAUUGCUUGGUUUUUAAUUUUGGUUUAUG